AGUUCUGUGGUUUAGUUGGUUGAAGCGCCGGAAAACGGAGUCAUGGGUUCGAAUCCCAGCAGAAUGC
rnacentral:tRNA from 1 species